rnacentral:lncRNA from 1 species
AUUCUUGACACACAGAAGCUGUAAGAAAAUAUGUAUUUGUAACUUCAAGCUGUCAAGUUUGUAGUGAUUUGUUAUGCAGCAAUGGAUGACCAGUAUAAUGGAUCAACUCACUUAAAUUUGGGAACUUCAGGUCCAGGAGGUAAAGGGAAGAUCAACCCACCUUUGUGUAUUAUGAAGAUAUGAGCAAACAAACUAGAACACACGCACAAAGAAUAAAUUGAGAUCUGCUAUUUAAUACUUACACGAAGGCACAGAAUGUUGACAAGAGUGC